rnacentral:rRNA from 1 species
CGGGUGAGUAACGCGUGGGUAAUCUACCCUUGGAUUCGGGAUAACCCUUCGAAAGGAGUGCUAAUACCGGAUGAAGUCAUUUAGGCUGUGGUUUAGAUGAUGAAAGGUGGCCUCUCCGAGGAAGCUACCGUUUGGGGAUGAGCCCGCGUACCAUUAGCUUGUUGGUGGGGUAACGGCCUACCAAGGCGACGAUGGUUAGCUGGUCUGAGAGGAUGAUCAGCCACACUGGAACUGACACACGGUCCAGACUCCUACGGGAGGCAGCAGUGAGGAAUUUUGCGCAAUGGGGGGAACCCUGACGUAGCAACGCCGCGUGAGUGAAGAAGGCCUUCGGGUCGUAAAGCUCUGUCGAGUGGGAAGAACCUUCGUAUGUUGAAUAUACAUACGGACUGACGGUACCACAGAAGGAAGCACCGGCUAACUCCGUGCCAGCAGCCGCGGUAAUACGGAGGGUGCAAGCGUUAUUCGGAAUUAUUGGGCGUAAAGAGCGCGUAGGCGGCUUUGCAAGUCAGGUGUGAAAUCCCGGGGCUCAACCCCGGAAGAGCAUUUGAUACUGUGGAGCUUGAGUAUGGGAGAGGGAAGUGGAAUUCCUGGUGUAGCGGUGAAAUGCGUAGAUAUCAGGAGGAACACCGGUGGCGAAGGCGGCUUCCUGGACCAAUACUGACGCUGAGGCGCGAAGGCGUGGGGAGCAAACGGGAUUAGAUACCCUGGUAGUCCACGCCGUAAACAUUGAUCACUAGGUGGAGCGGGUAUUGACCCCUGCUGUGCCGGAGUUAACGCCAUUAA